rnacentral:tRNA from 1 species
GGGCCGUUAGCUCAGCGGUUAGAGCAAGGGACUCAUAAUCCCUUGGUCCGGGGUUCAAAUCCCUGACGGCCCACCA